CAUAUGUAUGUGAAACAAACUUCUCAUUCUCAACAAAAAUUUGUGUGCUCAAUAUCAAAGAACAACUUAUAACCAUUUUUAAUCCCAAGAACAUAUAUCCAAAAUUAGAGAAGAGCAUAUAUCCAGCAUCGAUCAAACAUAUAUCCAGCAUAACGGCGAGAUUCGAACCUACUAUAUCAACGUUACAGAGCAUUUGGCGGAGGACAAUACCCAAGGUCCUUUGAGCAUACAUGCAUGCAUGUGUAAUUCGAUGCCAAAGGAUUAAUAUUAUAAAAUGCUAUGAAUGAUCUUCACCAAGUUUUUCCAAUAAUUCCAUUUAAAUCAUUCUUCAGCAAUAGGAUGGAUAUUUUCAACCUUUUACGAACAACUAUUUUUUUAACUGGCACGCAUCAAUCAUUCUACAUUCUCGUAUACAACCAACAAUUUUUUAGGAUGUACUCGACGUAACUUUUACAUUGUAGAUAGAUCUUUAAUUUUAGAAUUCCCUGUAAGUAGAAUUUUUAAUAAAGCAAUCUCGUGAUUAGAGAAAGUAAUUGCACUACCAAGUAUGGAAUCUGAAACAGAACCAGGAAGUUCCAAUUUGGGUGCACUAAUUGCAGCGCCAAUCGGAUCUAUUGUUGUUCUAGUUGCCUUAUGUUAUUGCAUGUACCGUUGCUGCUGCUGUUGUUGCAGAAGAGAUAAACAAGUCAUUGUCGUUAACACCACAAACAUGGUUCAAGCACAACCCGAAAAUCCAUCCGUUGUGAUUGUAAACAACAUGCCACCCACUAGGAGCGAAUUCGACAACCCAGUUUACAAUCUAUCAACUGCUCCACUUUUGACACAAGAAAUGUCAACAGCUUCCGAUUGGCCUGAAAGAAAGUUUUGAUUGCAGUUGCAUCGGAAACAUAUUUGCACAACAAACAAUUUGCACUGUUCAAUUAAAUAGCUUGAUAAUUCUUGA